GACGAACGCUGGCGGCAGGCCUAACACAUGCAAGUCGAACGAGUGGCGGACGGGUGAGUAAUGUCUGGGAAACUGCCUGAUGGAGGGGGAUAACUACUGGAAACGGUAGCUAAUACCGCAUACCAUCAGAUGUGCCCAGAUGGGAUUAGCUUGUUGGUGGGGUAACGGCCCACCAAGGCGACGAUCCCUAGCUGGUCUGAGAGGAUGACCGGCCACACGGGAGCUGAGACACGGGCCAGACCCCGACGGGGGGCAGCAGUGGGGAAUAUUGAACAAUGGGCGCAAGCCUGAUGCAGCCAGGCCGCGUGUAUGAAGAAGGCCUUCGGGUUGUAAAGUACUUUCAGCGGGGAGGCGUUACCCGCAGAAGAAGCACCGGCUAACUCCGUGCCAGCAGCCGCGGUAUUU
rnacentral:rRNA from 1 species